CGAUGCAUCUAGAUUGAGUUUGAUCAUGGCUCAGAUUGAACGCUAGCGGGAUGCCUUACACAUGCAAGUCGAACGGCAGCGGGAAGAAAGCUUGCUUUCUUUGCCGGCGAGUGGCGGACGGGUGAGUAAUAUAUCGGAACGUGCCCAGUAGCGGGGGAUAACUACUCGAAAGAGUGGCUAAUACCGCAUACGCCCUACGGGGGAAAGGGGGGGAUUCUUCGGAACCUCUCACUAUUGGAGCGGCCGAUAUCGGAUUAGCUAGUUGGUGGGGUAAAGGCUCGCCAAGGCAACGAUCCGUAGCUGGUUUGAGAGGACGACCAGCCACACUGGGACUGAGACACGGCCCAGACUCCUACGGGAGGCAGCAGUGGGGAAUUUUGGACAAUGGGGGAAACCCUGAUCCAGCCAUCCCGCGUGUAUGAUGAAGGCCUUCGGGUUGUAAAGUACUUUUGGCAGAGAAAAAAAGGUAUCUCCUAAUACGAGAUACUGCUGACGGUAUCUGCAGAAUAAGCACCGACUAACUACGUGCCAGCAGCCGCGGUAAUACGUAGGGUGCAAGCGUUAAUCGGAAUUACUGGGCGUAAAGCGUGUGUAGGCGGUUCGGAAAGAAAGAUGUGAAAUCCCAGGGCUCAACCUUGGAACUGCAUUUUUAACUGCCGAGCUAGAGUAUGUCAGAGGGGGGUAGAAUUCCACGUGUAGCAG
rnacentral:rRNA from 1 species